GGCGGGUUGCCCGAGCGGCCAAUGGGAGGGGACUGUAAAUCCCCCGGCUUAUGCCUUCGUAGGUUCAAAUCCUUCACCCGCCACCA
rnacentral:tRNA from 2 species